rnacentral:lncRNA from 1 species
AAAAAGAAAGAAAUUAAAGGAAUGGAAAUGUCAGAAAAGAAAGUAUUUUGUGCAACUACAUCAGAAGCAGAAUGUGGUUAUGUAGCUAUACAACCAAAACCCCAAAGUUUGUAUGAAUCUUAUGUAUUGAGAAAUAGUUCAAUCUUGAAUUCUAAAUAUAUAUCUCAAGAAAAUCCAUAUUAUGAAUGAAUUUUUGCUGGUGGAACUUUACGUUUUUUUACAUUCUUCAAAUGAUUAUCCAGCUAAUCCACUGAUGCCGUUUUCUGCG